rnacentral:rRNA from 1 species
AACUAACGCUGGCGGCAUGCCUAACACAUGCAAGUCGAACGGGAUCCACCUUUCGGGGUGGUGAGAGUGGCGGACGGGUGAGUAACGCGUGGGAACCUGCCCAGUGGUGGGGGAUAACUGCGGGAAACUGCAGCUAAUACCGCAUGAGCCCGAGAGGGGAAAGAUUUAUCGCCAUUGGAGGGGCCCGCGUUCGAAUAGGGAGUUGGUGGGGUAAUGGCCUACCAAGCCGACGAUCGAUAGCUGGUCUGAGAGGAUGAUCAGCCACACUGGGACUGAGAUACGGCCCAGACUCCUACGGGAGGAAGCAGUGGGGAAUAUUGGACAAUGGGGGCAACCCUGAUCCAGCAAUGCCGCGUGAGUGAUGAAGGCCUUCGGGUUGUAAAGCUCUUUUGCCAGGGACGAUGAUGACGGUACCUGGAGAAUAAGCCCCGGCUAACUUCGUGCCAGCAGCCGCGGUAAAAC